GUGGGGAAUAUUGGACAAUGGGCGAAAGCCUGAUCCAGCAAUGCCGCGUGAGUGAAGAAGGCCUUAGGGUUGUAAAGCUCUUUUACCCGGGAAGAUAAUGACUGUACCGGGAGAAUAAGCCCCGGCUAACUCCGUGCCAGCAGCCGCGGUAAUACGGAGGGGGCUAGCGUUGUUCGGAAUUACUGGGCGUAAAGCGCACGUAGGCGGCUUUGUAAGUUAGAGGUGAAAGCCCAGGGCUCAACCCUGGAACUGCCUUUAAGACUGCAUCGCUUGAACACGGGAGAGGUGAGUGGAAUUCCGAGUGUAGAGGUGAAAUUCGUAGAUAUUCGGAAGAACACCAGUGGCGAAGGCGACUCACUGGACCGUUGUUGACGCUUAGGUGCGAAAGCGUGGGGAGCAAACAGGAUUAGAAACCCUUGUAGUCC
rnacentral:rRNA from 1 species